rnacentral:rRNA from 1 species
ACGCUGGCGACGUGCCUAACACAUGCAAGUCAACUUGACUGAAGGAGCAAUCUGACAGUAGAGUGGCGCAAGGGUGCGUAACGCGUAAGUAACUUGCCCCAAGGUAAGGAAUAACGUCGAGAAAUCGGCGCUAAUACCUCAUAAUGCAGCGGAUCCGCAUGGAUAUGUUGUUAAAGGUUUACCGCCUUGGGAUAGGCUUGCGUCUGAUUAGCUAGUUGGUGUGGUAACGGCACACCAAGGCUACGAUCAGUAACUGGUCUGAGAGGAUGAUCAGUCACACUGGAACUGAGACACGGUCCAGACUCCUACGGGAGGCAGCAGUGAGGAAUAUUGGGCAAUGCUCGAAAGAGUGACCCAGCAACGCCGCGUGGAGGAUGAAGGUAUUCUAUAUCGUAAACUCCUGUGAGAGCAGACGAAAGACAGAUUAUUAAUCUGGAUGACUGUAUGCUCAGAGGAAGCCCCGGCUAACUACGUG